rnacentral:rRNA from 1 species
CUGCCAGUAGUCAUAUGCUUGUUUCAAGGACUAAGCCAUGCAUGCCUCAGAAUAACUGCUUUGCAGGAGUCUGCGCAUGGCUCAUUACAUCAGACGCAAUCUGCCGCAAAAAUCAUGCGGAACCCGCAUUAUUGGAUACCUUGUGCGAAACGCCAAGCUAAUACAUGAACUAAUGGGAUCGUCCCGAUCAACACGCCGUAGGUUUACCGAAAGCGUGGUGGCCGACCCUGCGGAUGAAUGAAAGUACAAACCAAUGCACCUCACGGUGCAGCAAAACGGAGUAGUGCUGAAUCAAUUCAUCUUUGCGAAAGCUGGCCUAGCCAGCGUUUUUUGACGAACAACUGCCCUAUCAGCCAGUGAUGGCCGUGUAGUGGACUGCCAUGGCGUUGACGGGAGCGGGGGAUUAGGGUUCGAUUCCGGAGAGGGAGCCUGAGAAAUGGCUACCACUUCUACGGAGGGCAGCAGGCGCGCAAAUUGCCCAAUGCCAAAAC